CGGAAAAACGGUGCCGGAUAACGUCCGGCGGGGGCGACCCCAGGGAAAGUGCCACAGAGAGGAUACCGCCUGCUUCCCAGCAGGUAAGGGUGAAAGGGUGGGGUAAGAGCCCACCGCGCGCAUGGCAACAUGGGUGGCAAGGCAAACCCCACCGGGAGCAAGACCGAAUAGGGAUGACGUGGACCGCGCAAGCGAUCCGGCCUUUUCCGGGCCAGUCAUCCGGGUGGGUUGCAGGAGGCAGCGCGCAAGCGUUGUCCCAGAUGAAUGGCUGCCACGUUCCGGCUUUCGGGCCGGGG
rnacentral:misc_RNA from 1 species